CUGGGGACUACGGCGUAGUGGCCUAGUACGUCCGUAGUCGAUGAGUCGAGUGAAUUAUUACAGAGAUAAUAAUUCACUCAGUUAGAAGGAGUUCUGACAGGUAUGACUCACGGCCAGCUCGAUAUUGGGCCUAGAGGGUCACACACAUAUGGUAGGCAUUGCGAUGAGUAGAGGUUCGGAUAUGAGAUAUCCGACGGAGCCCUUGUCUUAUUGGAUGUAGAUCCAAUACCCACUAGGGAAGGACCCAUUAGGGUUUGACACGGGAUCUCUAUAAAUAGGAG
rnacentral:lncRNA from 1 species